UACGGAGGGUGCAAACGUUGCUCGGAAUCAUUGGGCGUAAAGCGCGCGUAGGCGGCCCUGUAAGUCCGCUGUGAAAGUCAAAGGCUCAACCUUUGAAAGCCGGUGGAUACUGCAGGGCUAGAGUCCGGAAGAGGCGAGUGGAAUUCCUGGUGUAGCGGUGGAAUGCGCAGAUAUCAGGAGGAACACCGAUGGCGAAGGCAGCUCGCUGGGACGGUACUGACGCUGAGGCGCGAAAGCGUGGGGAGCGAACAGG
rnacentral:rRNA from 1 species